ensembl:miRNA MIR208A microRNA 208a
UUCCUGUGACGGGCGAGCUUUUGGCCCGGGUUAUACCUAAUGCUCACGUAUAAGACGAGCAAAAAGCUUGUUGGUCAGAGGAG